GGUUAAGCGACUAAGCGUACACGGUGGAUGCCCUGGCAGUCAGAGGCGAUGAAGGACGUGCUAAUCUGCGAUAAGCGUCGGUAAGGUGAUAUGAACCGUUAUAACCGGCGAUUUCCGAAUGGGGAAACCCAGUGUGAUUCGUCACACUAUCAUUACGUGAAUACAUAGCGUAAUGAAGCGAACCGGGGGAACUGAAACAUCUAAGUACCCCGAGGAAAAGAAAUCAACCGAGAUUCCCCCAGUAGCGGCGAGCGAACGGGGAGCAGCCCAGAGUCUGAAUCAGCAUGUGUGUUAGUGGAAGCGUCUGGAAAGUCGCACGAUACAGGGUGAAAGUCCCGUACACAAAAGUGCAUGUGUUGUGAACUCGAAGAGUAGGGCGGGACACGUGGUAUCCUGUCUGAAUAUGGGGGGACCAUCCUCCAAGGCUAAAUACUCCUGACUGACCGAUAGUGAACCAGUACCGUGAGGGAAAGGCGAAAAGAACCCCGGCGAGGGGAGUGAAAAAGAACCUGAAACCGUGUACGUACAAGCAGUGGGAGCACCCUUUGGGGUGUGACUGCGUACCUUUUGUAUAAUGGGUCAGCGACUUAUAUUCUGUAGCAAGGUUAACCGAAUAGGGGAGCCGAAGGGAAACCGAGUCUUAACUGGGCGUUAAGUUGCAGGGUAUAGACCCGAAACCCGGUGAUCUAGCCAUGGGCAGGUUGAAGGUUGGGUAACACUAACUGGAGGACCGAACCGACUAAUGUUGAAAAAUUAGCGGAUGACUUGUGGCUGGGGGUGAAAGGCCAAUCAAACCGGGAGAUAGCUGGUUCUCCCCGAAAGCUAUUUAGGUAGCGCCUCGUGAAUUCAUCUUCGGGGGUAGAGCACUGUUUCGGCUAGGGGGUCAUCCCGACUUACCAACCCGAUGCAAACUGCGAAUACCGAAGAAUGUUAUCACGGGAGACACACGGCGGGUGCUAACGUCCGUCGUGAAGAGGGAAACAACCCAGACCGCCAGCUAAGGUCCCAAAGUCAUGGUUAAGUGGGAAACGAUGUGGGAAGGCACAGACAGCCAGGAUGUUGGCUUAGAAGCAGCCAUCAUUUAAAGAAAGCGUAAUAGCUCACUGGUCGAGUCGGCCUGCGCGGAAGAUGUAACGGGGCUAAACCAUGCACCGAAGCUGCGGCAGCGACA
rnacentral:rRNA from 1 species